rnacentral:tRNA from 1 species
GGGGCCGUAGCUCAGUUGGGAGAGCGCCGCGUUCGCAAUGCGGAGGUCAGGGGUUCAACUCCCCUCGGCUCCACCA